rnacentral:rRNA from 1 species
CCUGCCGGCGACCGGCGCACGGGUGAGUAACACGUAUGCAACCUGCCCUCUUUAGGGGGACAACCUUCCGAAAGGGAGGCUAAUCCCGCGUAUAUCGGUUUCGGGCAUCCGAGAUCGAGGAAAGAUUCAUCGGAAGAGGAUGGGCAUGCGGCGCAUUAGCUAGACGGCGGGGUAACGGCCCACCGUGGCGACGAUGCGUAGGGGUUCUGAGAGGAAGGUCCCCCACACUGGUACUGAGACACGGACCAGACUCCUACGGGAGGCAGCAG